rnacentral:rRNA from 1 species
AGUGAACGCUGGCGGUAGGCCUAACACAUGCAAGUCGAACGGCAGCACAGUAAGAGCUUGCUCUUACGGGUGGCGAGUGGCGGACGGGUGAGGAAUACAUCGGAAUCUACUUUUUCGUGGGGGAUAACGUAGGGAAACUUACGCUAAUACCGCAUACGACCUACGGGUGAAAGCAGGGGAUCUUCGGACCUUGCGCGAUUGAAUGAGCCGAUGUCGGAUAGCUAGUUGGCGGGGUAAAGGCCCACCAAGGCGACGAUCCGUAGCUGGUCUGAGAGGAUGAUCAGCCACACUGGAACUGAGACACGGUCCAGACUCCUACGGGAGGCAGCAGUAGGGAAUAUUGGACAAUGGGCGCAAGCCUGAUCCAGCCAUGCCGCGUGGGUGAAGAAGGCCUUCGGGUUGUAAAGCCCUUUUGUUGGGAAAGAAAAGCAGCAGGUUAAUACCCCGCUGUUCUGACGGUACCCAAAGAAUAAGCACCGGCUAACUUCGUG